GGGGCUGAUCGGUUUCGACUUGGGACGUUAGUUCCAGGAGAAGCGGGUCGAGGAGCCAGCGACAUCUCGUAAACGACCGCUGGAAAACACAACUGCCAACACCAAUCGCAGUUCCUUCGCUCUCGCUGCCUGAGCAGUGAUCGAAGCGUCAGACCGGGCACCUGUCUCCGUCCCGGAUCCUGGCGUCAUCUAGGAGACUUGCUUGUCACCCCCAGUCAGGAGGGGUGACCGGGACUCAAACCUGACUGAGUCCGUCGGCGACGUGUCAGUACGAGCGCCGGGGCUGAGAACACGCCAAUACUGACUGCACCCGGAGAAGACCUGGUUCGACGCUCGAGGACGCGGGUUCGAUUCCCGCCAGCUCCACGC
rnacentral:tmRNA from 1 species